rnacentral:lncRNA from 1 species
ACAUUUGCCCUCAUUGUACAGAUAACACAGCAGAUAGAUUCCUACAUGCAUUCUGGUCAUGUUCACCUGUGCAGCACUUUUGGCAAGGAGAAUACGAACACUUGUCAACCUGGUUAAAGGGCUCAUAUCAUGCAAAAUCCACUUUUUAGACAUUUUUGGGCGUUCCUAUGACUCUAGGACUAGAAAUGCAUUUCCUGCUUUUUUCACAUUUUGAAAACGUAAAUUUUUUAAUCCAAUGGAGAGAGACAUCUACUACUCUGAGACCGUGUCCCAUGUGUCGUCACACUGGUAGGAACAUCUCCUUGCAAAUCCUGAACCACCACCCCCACAAUGAUCCCGAACCAAAACUGGACUUCCGCCAUUUCCCCCCUCUCACUCUCCGUGAACAGACCAGCACGGCAGCGUUCAAGUCCUCCCAUAGAAAUAGUUCGGUUCUUAGGUGUUCUAACCAACACCAAAUUCUAUUCACUUUAACAAGGGAUCAACAAGUGAGGAUUUGUGGGUCACUUUUAUUUUUAACGGACCGGUGUCAGAAACACUGCCUCAGCAUUUAUACGUAUGUGCAUUUCAAACGAGGGUGCGUACAAUGCUGGAUUUGUUUCACGGCUCCUGUUGGAAAAAAAGGACCUAUUCCUACAGUCCGUCAUCCACUCACUGCAGAGGGCAAAUCCCAGUUGCCCACAUGCAAGGAGGCUGUCAAACAGAGAAAUCACUGCAGACUGUUGGUACACGGACAUCUGCUGCCCAGCUCAGGAGUGAAGGUGAUGGUGAGGACAGCCACAGCUUCCAUCUGGUAGAGGACUGCUUCCGCUCAGUCUUCCAAAUAGUGAUGAGAACAAGGAUCACCACAUCUCCCUGUUUACCCUACUUUCAUGCAUUUCGUCUGCAAGGCCCUGCAAAAGCUUCUGUCCUCAAACCCCCAGACUUCUUAAUUAACUCAGUAACCUAUACAUUGCACAUUGGAGUGUGAAGGUAACAGUUUGUUCUAGCUUUGGAGUAGUGGUGCAUUUUUUUGGUUUACAAUAAAGUUGGCUUUAACUAUUAUGUAUUUCA